CCAGGAGGCUGGGCAGCCGCGGGUGCGUAAGCACGCGAGGAAAGUCCGGGCUCCACGAAGUAAGGGUGGCGGGUAACGCCCGCCGUGGGCAACCACAGGGAAAGUGCCACAGAGAGUAUACCGCCGAUGGCCCCUAAAGGGCACAGGCACGGGUGAAAGGGUGCGGUAAGAGCGCACCGGGGCGUUGGUAACAGGGCCCGUCAUGGCAAACCCCACCCGGAGCAAGGCCGAAUAGGGAUCCCGCGCCAGAAAUGGCAGGAACGCUUCGUUCCGAGGAGGUCCGGGUUGGCUGCUGGAGCGGUCUGGCAACAGGCCGCCUAGAUGAAUGGUUGCCGCCCGUCGCAAGACGGGAACAGAACCCGGCUUACAGGCCUCCUGGCAUC
rnacentral:RNase_P_RNA from 1 species